rnacentral:rRNA from 1 species
UGAGGAAUAUUGGUCAAUGGGCGGAAGCCUGAACCAGCCAAGUAGCGUGCAGGAUGACGGCCCUAUGGGUUGUAAACUGCUUUUAUACAGGAAUAAAGUUAGCCACGGGUGGUUAUUUGUAGGUACUGUAUGAAUAAGGACCGGCUAAUUCCGUGCCAGCAGCCGCGGUAAUACGGAAGGUCCAGGCGUUAUCCGGAUUUAUUGGGUUUAAAGGGAGCGUAGGCCGUCUGUUAAGCGUGUUGUGAAAUGUAGAUGCUCAACAGCUGAAUUGCAGCGCGAACUGGCAGACUUGAGUGUGCGCAACGUAGGCGGAAUUCGUGGUGUAGCGGUGAAAUGCUUAGAUAUCGCGAAGAACUCCGAUUGCGAAGGCAGCUUACGGGAGCACAACUGACGCUGAAGCUCGAAAGUGCGGGUAUCGAACA